UCUCCCACUCUCCCCAGUACCCUCACUCUCCCACUCUCCACAGUACCCCCACCCUCCCACUCUCCCCAGUACCCCUAUCCUCCCAAUCUCCCCAGUACCCCAGUGCAUAAAGAGGAGGCGCUCACACAGCGACAGGUCACAGAUGAGUGGCAGCUGAUCCCUGCUCCCCGUGGGCCACAGUGGGGCCUGUGGGUCCGGGUGGGGGCACAGGCCUCCCGGCUGGGGUCCACAACACCCCGACCCCCAUGCAAUGACCAUGAGCAGCUCCUACAGCCUUUCCACAGCCCCAUGGGGUGAGAGUGGCCACCCUGCUGCUCCCGUCCAGGGAAGGAGGCUGCAGUCGGAACUCAGGACCCCCGCUCCCCUGUAAGCCCUGUGCUGUGCAGGCACCCAAGCCAUGACCUUUCCAGCCUGUCCUAGUCGCAUGGACCCCGACAGGGGUGACUGAUACCCCCCCAUCCCGCCCUGUGCCCGCUGGGUCCCCUGGCCCGUGAGCAGGCUUGCUCUUCACGCACUGGAACGUGGAGUCCCUCGUGCUCCCCCAGGCCCCCCUCAGGCUAUUCACACAUCGCUGCCCUCAGGGUGGGGAGUUUGGUUGCACUCUUGCUGGCAUCAGGUUUUAAUUUUGAUGAAGUCCAGUCCGUCGCUUUCUCCCCUUGGUCGUGUGCUUGUGGAAUCUAAGAGAAACCUUCGAUCCCCGCCCCACCCCCAAGCCCGCAGGGACACUCGCUGGCCGGCCCACCCACCACCAUCUCUGCGCCGCCCUGGGCUGGGAGACGUCACCCCCAAGCAUCAGGUGGGCAGUUCCCCGGAGCCCCUGGGUCCCCCACCCGUGUGCUCCUGAUACCGGGGUGGGCGCGCUCUGUGACCCCAGCGUGACGGCGUGUCCUGGGACAGUGGCUGGGAAAGUGGACUGUAGGUGGGCGAGGGACAGACAGGCAGCGAGGGCCCAUGUGUGAUGCCUGAUGUGUCCUCAGAAGGUUCUCACGCACCGUCAUUCUUGGAUGUGUUUGGAUUGCAGCACGAUGCAGGAGGACCCGGAGACCUUGCUGGCCUUGCAAAGGGCCAAUAUCGUGGCCCAGUACCAUCAGGCGCACCAAGCAGGGUCUCCGCAGGACCUGUCACUGUGCAAGGUCACCGACCACCAGGGCUUUCUGCAGUGAGUCCCCUGGACACCCCUCAUCCAUCUCAGGGGGGGUGGCGAUUGCAGGAACACCUCUCUGGAGGCUGACCCCCCCACCAGGUCGGGACCUCGUCCCCUGGAGCCCUCUGAGGGCCAUGUCUGCGCUGGGCUGCAGCUGAGACACCCCGGAGGACAACCCGGGACGUGGGCAGGAAGGGAGCUGGG
rnacentral:lncRNA from 12 species